AUUGAACGCUGGCGGCAUGCCUUACACAUGCAAGUCGAAUGGUAACAGGUCUUCGGAUGCUGACGAGUGGCGAACGGGUGAGGAAUACAUCGGAACGUGCCUAGUAGUGGGGGAUAACUACUCGAAAGAGUGGCUAAUACCGCAUGAGCACUACGGAUCAAAGCAGGAGAUCGCAAGACCUUGUGCUACUAGAACGGCCGAUGGCAGAUUAGGUAGUUGGUGGGAUAAAAGCUUACCAAGCCGACGAUCUGUAGCUGGGCCGAGAGGACGAUAAGCCACACUGGAACUGAGACACGGGCCAGACUCCUACGGGAGGCAGCAGUGGGGAAUUUUGGACAAUGGGCGAAAGCCUGAUCCAGCAAUGCCGCGUGCAGGAUGAGGGCCUUCGGGUUGUAAACUGCUUUUGGACGGGGCGAAAAGCCCCGGGUUAAUACCCUGGGGUCAUGACGGUACCGUAAGAAUAAGCACCGGCUAACUACGUGCCAGCAGCCGCGGUAA
rnacentral:rRNA from 1 species